CUGAAAUCAAGUAAUAGUCAUUCAUGCCUUUUUAUCAGUCUAUUGGCGCCAGAAAAGUUCCCAGCAUAUCCUACUUCAAGCAGGAUAAUGUUUCGUUAUCUUCUCAUUUCUACUGCUACAAGAUUCGUUUCUUCGUUUCUUAAUUAUGUUCAUCGGUUCUGUUUUCAUUGAUUGCAUAAUGAAAAUGUGUUAAAUGACCGAAUUAUUCAUAGUGUUUAGGCAAUGUCGAUGGUCUUCUUCGCCACCAUUUCCCAGAACUUGGCAUGUGGAGGAAUGACUCGAGGACAACAACAGGUCCUCAAGCUGUCACUGUUCUUCCAUGGACGGGAGGUUUUGGACGGCAACACCAGACAUGCAAUGAUUUCCGGUGACUCGGUCGAAUAGCAUUUUUUGUGAACAGCUUUAAAUGAGUUUGUAUUUAUGGUUUUUCUUUCAAACUAUUUUAUUUCUAAAGCUGCAUUUCGUCUAAAUGUACAUAUUUUUCAUGAAUUGUUGCAACUUCACAUGCCCCAAAGAUUAUGAUUCUUAAGUAAAUGUAUUUAGGUAAAAAUUUA